rnacentral:rRNA from 1 species
CCUACGGGUGGCAGCAGUGGGGAAUAUUGGGCAAUGGGCGCAAGCCUGACCCAGCAACGCCGCGUGAAGGAAGAAGGCUUUCGGGUUGUAAACUUCUUUUCUGAGGGACGAAGAAAGUGACGGUCCCUCAGGAAUAAGCCACGGCUACCUCCGUGCCAGCAGCCGCGGUAAUACGUAGGUGGCAAGCGUUAGCCGGAUUUAUUGGGUGUAAAGGGCGUGUAGGCGGGAAAACAAGUCAGAUGUGAAAACUCAGGGCUCAACCCUGAGCCUGCAUUUGAAACUGUUGUUCUUGAGUGCUGGAGAGGCAGUCGGAAUUCCGUGUGUAGCGGUGAAAUGCGUAGAUAUACGGAGGAACACCAGUGGCGAAGGCGGAUUGCUGGACAGUAACUGACGCUGAGGCGCGAAAGCGUGGGGAGCAAACAGGAUUAGAUACCCUUGUAGUC